rnacentral:misc_RNA from 1 species
AACGCAUAUUGCGCCCUUUGGCAUUCCAAAGGGCAUGCCUGUUCGAGCGUUAUUAUCAACCAUCAAGCCUGGCUUGUUGUUAGACUCUUGGUUAUAAGGACCGGUCUUAAAGAUAAUCGGUAGAACCUCAUGGCUCUCAGUAUAACAAGCUUUUUUAUAGCAUAUAUCUGUAGGCCUGUGGUCUUACCUGUAAACCCCAAUUUUCUUAGGUUAACCUCGGAUCAGGUAGGAAUACCCGCUGAACUUAA